AUUGGAAAGGUCUUGAAUUAUUGUAUCGCCUUAAAAGGUAUGUAGUUUGAGGUACCUGAGAGUCUCCUAGGGUAUUUGGGUCAUGACUUCAUUUUUCUAAAUAAAGGAUUGAAAGAGCAUUUUUCUAGAUUUUGAACAGUCUGUCUCACCAAAUUUGUCACUCCUUUGACCAAAAGUGUAGUACUUACUAGCUUCAAAAUUCCUAAAUAUGUGAACAUUGUUCUUAUGUGAAAUAUACACCCCCCACUUCUUUUUUUUACUAAAAUCUUCUAGGCUUUCUCUUUGAAAACUGACCAUUUCUAUUUGAACAAAAAGAAAGACGCUGAAUCUGAGCAAUGCUGGGCUGGGAAAAUAAGGGUGUCUGGGAACGUGUUACCGUGGCGCUUUGARCAGAGUCUCCGCAGACGCCGCUCUUGGAAGGCAGUUUUAUUCUCUGGAGAUCAUGUUGAAUUGUGGGGAUUGAAAUGAAACUGGUGGAUUUGCCUACUGCCUAAAUAUUUUAUAUCRUCAAAAACACACAGCCCACCUUGUUGUGAGAGGAAGUCGGUGUUCAGAACAAAAAGAUUUGAAGAGACUGAAAAAGUAGGGAUUUAUGGCAGAGCACCAAAGUGAAGGUAGGUAGCUGCUGCAAUACCCACC
rnacentral:lncRNA from 1 species